AGAAUCAACGCUGGCGGCGUGCCUAACACAUGCAAGUCGCACGAGAAAGGGACUUCGGUCCUAAGUACAGUGGCGCACGGGUGAGUAACACGUGAAUUAUCUACCUCCGAGUGGGGAAUAACUGAGAGAAAUCUUAGCUAAUACCGCAUAACACUUACGAGUCAAAGCAGCAAUGCGCUUGGAGAGGAGUUCGCGGCAGAUUAGUUAGUUGGCGGGGUAAUGGCCCACCAAGACGAUGAUCUGUAUCCGGCCUGAGAGGGCGCACGGACACACUGGAACUGAAACACGGUCCAGACUCCUACGGGAGGCAGCAGUGGGGAAUUUUGCGCAAUGGGGGAAACCCUGACGCAGCAACGCCGCGUGGAGGAGGACGCUUUUCGGAGUGUAAACUGCUUUUCUCGAGGAAGAAGUCGGACGGUACUCGAGGAAGAAGCCCCGGCUAACGUACGUGCCAGCAGCCGC
rnacentral:rRNA from 1 species